CCAUCUGUGGUUCAGUGGUAGAAUGCUCGCAUGCCACGCGGGCGGCCCGGGUUCGAUUCCAGGUCGAUGGA
rnacentral:tRNA from 1 species